rnacentral:rRNA from 1 species
UACGAAGGGGGCUAGCGUUGCUCGGAAUCACUGGGCGUAAAGGGCGCGUAGGCGGCCUGCUAAGUCGAACGUGAAAUCCCCGGGCUCAACCCGGGAACUGCGUCCGAUACUGGCAGGCUUGAAUCCGGGAGAGGGAUGUGGAAUUCCAGGUGUAGCGGUGAAAUGCGUAGAUAUCGGGAGGAACACCAAUGGCGAAGGCAGCUCGCUGGGACGGUACUGACGCUGAGACGACGAAAGCGGUGGGGAGCAAACAGG